UACAGAGGGUGCAAGCGUUGUUCGGAAUUACUGGGCGUAAAGCACACGUAGGCGGAUAUUUAAGUCAGGGGUGAAAUCCCAGAGCUCAACUCUGGAACUGCCUUUGAUACUGGGUAUCUCGAGUAUGGAAGAGGUGAGUGGAAUUCCGAGUGUAGAGGUGAAAUUCGUAGAUAUUCGGAGGAACACCAGUGGCGAAGGCGGCUCACUGGUCCAUUACUGACGCUGAGGUGCGAAAGCGUGGGGAGCAAACAGG
rnacentral:rRNA from 1 species